rnacentral:rRNA from 1 species
AACGAACGCUGGCGGCAGGCUUAACACAUGCAAGUCGAACGCCCCGCCAGGGGAGUGGCCGACGGGUGAGUAACGCGUGGGAACAUACCCUUUCCUGCGGAAUAGCUCCGGGAAACUGGAAUUAAUACCGCAUACGCCCUACGGGGGAAAGAUUUAUCGGGGAAGGAUUGGCCCGCGUUGGAUUAGCUAGUUGGUGGGGUAAAGGCCUACCAAGGCGACGAUCCAUAGCUGGUCUGAGAGGAUGAUCAGCCACAUUGGGACUGAGACACGGCCCAAACUCCUACGGGAGGCAGCAGUGGGGAAUAUUGGACAAUGGGCGCAAGCCUGAUCCAGCCAUGCCGCGUGAGUGAUGAAGGCCUUAGGGUUGUAAAGCUCUUUCACCGAUGAAGAUAAUGACGGUAGUCGGAGGAGAAGCCCCGGCUAACUUCGU